rnacentral:rRNA from 1 species
AGGGCGCACGGUGGAUGCCUGGGCACUAGAAGCCGAUGAAGGACGGUACGAACGACGAUAUGCUGUGGGGAGCUGUAAGUAAGCUUUGAUCCAGAGAUUUCCGAAUGGGGAAACCCAGCAUGAGUUAUGUCAUGUUAUCGAUAUGUGAAUACAUAGCAUAUCAGAAGGCACACCCGGAGAACUGAAACAUCUUAGUACCCGGAGGAAGAGAAAGAAAAUUCGAUUCCCUUAGUAGCGGCGAGCGAAACGGGAAGAGCCCAAACCAACAAGCUUGCUUGUUGGGGUUGUAGGACACUCUAUACGGAGUUACAAAGGACGACAUUAGACGAAUCAUCUGGAAAGAUGAAUCAAAGAAGGUAAUAAUCCUGUAGUCGAAAAUGUUGUCUCUCUUGAGUGGAUCCUGAGUACGACGGAGCACGUGAAAUUCCGUCGGAAUCUGGGAGGACCAUCUCCUAAGGCUAAAUACUCUCUAGUGACCGAUAGUGAACCAGUACCGUGAGGGAAAGGUGAAAAGCACCCCGGAAGGGGAGUGAAAUAGAACCUGAAACCGUGUGCUUACAAGUAGUCAGAGCCCGUUAAUGGGUGAUGGCGUGCCUUUUGUAGAAUGAACCGGCGAGUUACGAUUUGAUGCAAGGUUAAGCAGUAAAUGUGGAGCCGUAGCGAAAGCGAGUCUGAAUAGGGCGUUUAGUAUUUGGUCGUAGACCCGAAACCAGGUGAUCUACCCUUGGUCAGGUUGAAGUUCAGGUAACACUGAAUGGAGGACCGAACCGACUUACGUUGAAAAGUGAGCGGAUGAACUGAGGGUAGCGGAGAAAUUCCAAUCGAACCUGGAGAUAGCUGGUUCUCUCCGAAAUAGCUUUAGGGCUAGCCUCAAGUGAUGAUUAUUGGAGGUAGAGCACUGUUUGGACGAGGGGCCCCUCUCGGGUUACCGAAUUCAGACAAACUCCGAAUGCCAAUUAAUUUAACUUGGGAGUCAGAACAUGGGUGAUAAGGUCCGUGUUCGAAAGGGAAACAGCCCAGACCACCAGCUAAGGUCCCAAAAUAUAUGUUAAGUGGAAAAGGAUGUGGCGUUGCCCAGACAACUAGGAUGUUGGCUUAGAAGCAGCCAUCAUUUAAAGAGUGCGUAAUAGCUCACUAGUCGAGUGACACUGCGCCGAAAAUGUACCGGGGCUAAACAUAUUACCGAAGCUGUGGAUUGUCCUUUGGACAAUGGUAGGAGAGCGUUCUAAGGGCGUUGAAGCAUGAUCGUAAGGACAUGUGGAGCGCUUAGAAGUGAGAAUGCCGGUGUGAGUAGCGAAAGACGGGUGAGAAUCCCGUCCACCGAUUGACUAAGGUUUCCAGAGGAAGGCUCGUCCGCUCUGGGUUAGUCGGGUCCUAAGCUGAGGCCGACAGGCGUAGGCGAUGGAUAACAGGUUGAUAUUCCUGUACCACCUAUAAUCGUUUUAAUCGAUGGGGGGACGCAGUAGGAUAGGCGAAGCGUGCGAUUGGAUUGCACGUCUAAGCAGUAAGGCUGAGUAUUAGGCAAAUCCGGUACUCGUUAAGGCUGAGCUGUGAUGGGGAGAAGACAUUGUGUCUUCGAGUCGUUGAUUUCACACUGCCGAGAAAAGCCUCUAGAUAGAAAAUAGGUGCCCGUACCGCAAACCGACACAGGUAGUCAAGAUGAGAAUUCUAAGGUGAGCGAGCGAACUCUCGUUAAGGAACUCGGCAAAAUGACCCCGUAACUUCGGGAGAAGGGGUGCUCUUUAGGGUUAACGCCCAGAAGAGCCGCAGUGAAUAGGCCCAAGCGACUGUUUAUCAAAAACACAGGUCUCUGCUAAACCGUAAGGUGAUGUAUAGGGGCUGACGCCUGCCCGGUGCUGGAAGGUUAAGAGGAGUGGUUAGCUUCUGCGAAGCUACGAAUCGAAGCCCCAGUAAACGGCGGCCGUAACUAUAACGGUCCUAAGGUAGCGAAAUUCCUUGUCGGGUAAGUUCCGACCCGCACGAAAGGCGUAACGAUUUGGGCACUGUCUCAACGAGAGACUCGGUGAAAUCAUAGUACCUGUGAAGAUGCAGGUUACCCGCGACAGGACGGAAAGACCCCGUGGAGCUUUACUGUAGCCUGAUAUUGAAAUUCGGCACAGCUUGUACAGGAUAGGUAGGAGCCUUUGAAACGUGAGCGCUAGCUUACGUGGAGGCGCUGGUGGGAUACUACCCUAGCUGUGUUGGCUUUCUAACCCGCACCACUUAUCGUGGUGGGAGACAGUGUCAGGCGGGCAGUUUGACUGGGGCGGUCGCCUCCUAAAAGGUAACGGAGGCGCUCAAAGGUUCCCUCAGAAUGGUUGGAAAUCAUUCAUAGAGUGUAAAGGCAUAAGGGAGCUUGACUGCGAGACCUACAAGUCGAGCAGGGUCGAAAGACGGACUUAGUGAUCCGGUGGUUCCGCAUGGAAGGGCCAUCGCUCAACGGAUAAAAGCUACCCCGGGGAUAACAGGCUUAUCUCCCCCAAGAGUUCACAUCGACGGGGAGGUUUGGCACCUCGAUGUCGGCUCAUCGCAUCCUGGGGCUGUAGUCGGUCCCAAGGGUUGGGCUGUUCGCCCAUUAAAGCGGUACGCGAGCUGGGUUCAGAACGUCGUGAGACAGUUCGGUCCCUAUCCGUCGUGGGCGUAGGAAAUUUGAGAGGAGCUGUCCUUAGUACGAGAGGACCGGGAUGGACAUACCUCUGGUGUACCAGUUGUCGUGCCAACGGCAUAGCUGGGUAGCUAUGUGUGGACGGGAUAAGUGCUGAAAGCAUCUAAGCAUGAAGCCCCCCUCAAGAUGAGAUUUCCCAACUUCGGUUAU